CAAAGAAUUGGGUCCUGAAAGUAGCAUACUCAAUGGGGACUGUGAGCAUGCAUCACUUAAUCAGUACAUGGGCACUGCACUCCUUCCUGGGCCAGAUUGUAUGUAGGUCAGCACCUCCAGUGGCUGAACCUCCAGAAGGGCUAUCACAAAGGUCUGAGAAUCUGUCUUCCUUAAGGCAGCGAGAAGUGGUCACAGACACGGCUUGGCUGCUAGCAUGGCAGAAGGUCUAGUGGGGGCAGCUGGGACUCCACCAGCCCACCACAUAUGGGGCCACCAGAAGCUGUUGGCGCCCCUCCCACAUCCCUGUGGUCCACUCAGGAGGUUAACUGCAGUCAGCUGUCAUUCUACUGGUGGCUUCCUGCAUCUUUCUGCCUGAGCUUGUUCUUUGGUAUGACUCAAGUGCUUAAUAGACCAUGUCACUAUUGUAGUUUCUAGAUACCCAAAAUUCAAAUGUGGGUCUCUCUGCCUACAUUUUGUAUUUUCUAUGUAAAAAAUUCCCUAAAGCCCUCCAGGAAGGACUCCUCUCCCUGUGGCUCCAUGCCAGCCCUAUGCUCUGCAGCCAUAGGGAGGAUUGCUGUGCCAAUGCUCACAAACCUUGGGGCUGCCAUCCCCAAGACUCCUUGGACUCCAUACAAAGAUUGACCUUAGGAGGAGUGAGUCACAACAACUCCAUGUGAGUAUUGGGAGGC
rnacentral:lncRNA from 1 species